AGAGUUUGAUCCUGGCUCAGGACGAACGCUGGCGGCGUGCUUAACACAUGCAAGUCGAACGAUGAUGCCCAGCUUGCUGGGCGGAUUAGUGGCGAACGGGUGAGUAAUACGUGAGUAACCUGCCCUUGACUCUGGGAUAAGCCUGGGAAACUGGGUCUAAUACUGGAUACUACCUCUUACCGCAUGGUGGGUGGUGGAAAGGGUUUUACUGGUUUUGGAUGGGCUCACGGCCUAUCAGCUUGUUGGUGGGGUAAUGGCUCACCAAGGCGACGACGGGUAGCCGGCCUGAGAGGGUGACCGGCCACACUGGGACUGAGACACGGCCCAGACUCCUACGGGAGGCAGCAGUGGGGAAUAUUGCACAAUGGGCGGAAGCCUGAUGCAGCGACGCCGCGUGAGGGAUGACGGCCUUCGGGUUGUAAACCUCUUUCAGUAGGGAAGAAGCGAGAGUGACGGUACCUGCAGAAGAAGCGCCGGCUAACUACGUGCCAGCAGCCGCGGUAAUACGUAGGGCGCAAGCGUUGUCCGGAAUUAUUGGGCGUAAAGAGCUCGUAGGCGGUUUGUCGCGUCUGCUGUGAAAGCCCGGGGCUCAACCCCGGGUCUGCAGUGGGUACGGGCAGACUAGAGUGCAGUAGGGGAGACUGGAAUUCCUGGUGUAGCGGUGAAAUGCGCAGAUAUCAGGAGGAACACCGAUGGCGAAGGCAGGUCUCUGGGCUGUUACUGACGCUGAGGAGCGAAAGCAUGGGGAGCGAACAGGAUUAGAUACCCUGGUAGUCCAUGCCGUAAACGUUGGGCACUAGGUGUGGGGGACAUUCCACGUUUUCCGCGCCGUAGCUAACGCAUUAAGUGCCCCGCCUGGGGAGUACGGCCGCAAGGCUAAAACUCAAAGGAAUUGACGGGGGCCCGCACAAGCGGCGGAGCAUGCGGAUUAAUUCGAUGCAACGCGAAGAACCUUACCAAGGCUUGACAUUCACCGGACCGCCCCAGAGAUGGGGUUUCCCUUCGGGGCUGGUGGACAGGUGGUGCAUGGUUGUCGUCAGCUCGUGUCGUGAGAUGUUGGGUUAAGUCCCGCAACGAGCGCAACCCUCGUUCUAUGUUGCCAGCACGUGAUGGUGGGGACUCAUAGGAGACUGCCGGGGUCAACUCGGAGGAAGGUGGGGAUGACGUCAAAUCAUCAUGCCCCUUAUGUCUUGGGCUUCACGCAUGCUACAAUGGCCGGUACAAAGGGUUGCGAUACUGUGAGGUGGAGCUAAUCCCAAAAAGCCGGUCUCAGUUCGGAUUGAGGUCUGCAACUCGACCUCAUGAAGUCGGAGUCGCUAGUAAUCGCAGAUCAGCAACGCUGCGGUGAAUACGUUCCCGGGCCUUGUACACACCGCCCGUCAAGUCACGAAAGUUGGUAACACCCGAAGCCGGUGGCCUAACCCCUUGUGGGAGGGAGCCGUCGAAGGUGGGACUGGCGAUUGGGACUAAGUCGUAACAAGGUAACC
rnacentral:rRNA from 4 species